UUAUCUCUGGGUAGCUCAGUUGGAAGAGCGUCAGACUGCAAAUCUGAAUGUCACCAGUUGGAUCCCGGUCUUAUAAA
rnacentral:tRNA from 1 species